CUGUUGGGCCUUAUCAAACGGCAGCUGCCAGAGGGAGAACGGAACAAACGCACGAUGCCCAUUACGUGGUCGGCAGUGAAAGAGUCAAGAAACCCCCCCUUCUUGAGCUAUUUACAGCUUUUAACAAUUGAGUAAAGUACGCUCCGGUAAGGAUUAUAAAACAAAGUUUUGUCCAAAAACAAAAUUUGGAAUAUGUUUUUUUCUCUUUACCUGAUUUCUGCAGAAUUUGGAAACUAUUUGUGAGUGUUCUUAACUUACGGCAAUAUAGUUAUUUGCAUAAGUGCAGUAAGAAUCUGUUUUUCCUUCUUUCUUCUUUUUUUUUUUUUGUAACAGGACACAAUUGGAGAAACUGGUUAUUUAACAAGGGUUUGACUCGAGUGGCAUGCUUUCAAAUAUAAACAGACUUCUUUAAGGAAUUAAAGUUGACUAAUAGAGCCAAUAAAAGCCUCUUGGAAAAACUGGUCUUGUACCUUGUGUAUGAAGUCCCUGUAUAGGGUUCCUGACCUGUGGUAAGUAAAGAAUGUAACUUUCUGACAGGCCUGGGAGCCCCGAGUUAUCUCGGGACCUCAAGAGGAGAGGAAUUUAUCUAACUCAUACAGGUUCUUGCAGGCAUAGGUAAAUCCAUGGCUGG
rnacentral:lncRNA from 10 species